UUUCAUAAACAAACAAAUAACCUCAGAUGACAAAAAAAAACCCACAAAGAUAUCAAUAUCAUUAGUCAUUAAUCAGUAGUCAUUUUUUCCCCCAAAAAACUACAUUCAGAAACCAGGUGAGAAAAGUCAGUACACCCUUCCUAUUUCCACAAUCAUUAAAAGAGUAAUUAGCAGUCAGGUGUUACUAAUGAAAUGCACACAAUUAGUUAAUCAUCAAGAAGUGUGACUACCUCUAUAAAAGCAGAACUUUUGGCAGUUUGAUGUUCUGGGGUGUGUUGCAGAAAAGCCUUAAGUUAAGAUGUGAUAAGUUAAAUUAUGAUUUUUCACAAAUUUGUAUUAUAGAACUUAAUUUUCUUAUCUUAUCUUACAAAAUCUUAUCUGUAGUUAGGAAAUCUUAAACCACUCCAUCAAGUUUGAUAAUCAACUCUGAGGUCUGUUACCAAGCAACCAACAAUGUGCAAGCUGCUGCUGUGAUGUAAACAUUAGAUUGAAAUGGAAAAAACAAAAUCAGCGUGGUUUUAAUUUCAGUGCUGCAGAAAUUGAAGUUUUGAUCAGCUUGGUAGAAAAAGCAAAGCCUGUUAUAUUCUGUAAGUUUUCACCUUCACUCACAAAGACAGAAAGUGGACAAGAGACACAAAGAAUGUGUGUGCGCUGUCUGGCAUUUACUGUACACCAGACUCUGUGAAGAAAACAUCUACCACUCUAAUAAGUGAAAAAAAGAAGACUGCUGUGUAGGCAAGGGAAAUAAAGAAUACAGGAGGUGGAACGAGUGACACUCCAUCAUUAACCCUUUCAGAUGUUGGGUGUCAUUCAGAAGGUGCAGUAUGAAGGUAGGACUGGAGUUGGAGCAGCAUGAACUGACGACAAUACAGCUGUCAGAUCUGUUCGAGGGAACAUCAGUAGAGCCUCGUCAAUUCCCACCCCAAUUGAGAGGCAGCGAGGAGAUAAAGAGGGGGAGAGAAGAGCCACGGGGGAGAGAGAUGAGAAACAUGGAAGUGUGUGUGUGUGUGUG